UGUGAGUCUGGGGUUUGGUGAGAGCACUCCGCUGGAAGUGCAGGUGGCAGGGCUGCCCUGGGCUGAGUGAGGCCAGCAGGCCUGAUAAAAGGGAACAGGACUUCUGUAGAAUGCAUCAGUGUGGAAGGCAGGAGGAAUAAGAAGAAAGAAUGUGAGGGGUGAGGAGGGAAUCAGACCUGGACCAUGAAAACUUAUGGAAGGACUGGGUUAUACACAGCAUGUCUGGUGGCAAGGCAGGGAGGAGGCACUGCUGGGUGAGGGGGGCAGUUUGGUCAUGGGCAUCUCAGUGGGGAUGGGCUGUGGAGGCACAAUUCAUGCAGCUAUGGGCACCAGAUGUUUGGAGUGGAGCUGUGGCUUUGACCCACUGGGAACUUGUUAGAAGCACAAACUCUUGAGCCCCAUGCGGACCUCCUGAGUGCCCAUCUGCAGCAGAACAAGAUCCCAGGUUGAGUGGGCUGCACAGAGACAUGGGGUCAUGUGUAGGCAGGAGGCAGAGGUGACACCCGAGCUGCGGUUCGUAGCACGCUGUGGAAGGAGGAGGCACAUCCAUAGCCGUCUCCUGUCAAAUCAAGUUUUAAAGAAAAACGAAUGCAUGGACUACCUGAGGAGCUUCUGUAAUUUAUUGACAUUACUCCUGUAAGCUUCAGAGUAUUCAUAUGUUCAUCCACCAGUUAUUUAUUGAGCACUGUCUGUGUGCAGUACCUCUUGGAAGUGCUGAGGAACAAGAGAACAAGACAGUGUUCAAGCUCUCAUGAGCUUACAUUUUAGCGAGGAGGGACAGACUCCUGCUAGCAGUCAGCAACAUAAGUACAGAUGGGUGGGGAGGGAAGAGACGGGUGAGGGGGUGGUGCUGUUUUAGCAGGUGUUGGACAUCGUCUCUGCUGAAGGCCACCCAGGGUGAGCCUGGGGCUCUUAGAGGUUGCUUCAUGCAGAAGGAUGGCGAGAGCAGCAAGGGCCAGUGGGGCUGGACGUGUGGAGACCAAGGGGGCUGUGAUGGGACCCGGGCAGACAGGGGCCACUGGCUUUGCCCAGGCCCUCUGUGUGAGGGGCAGCUGUCUGAGCAGAGCAGAGGUGUGGUUUAUGUUUUAGCAGAUGUCGGGGAGCACAAGGGCCAGUCAGGAAGGAGAGGGUGGAGGGGAUCAAAGAGUGACUCUACAUCCAGGUCAGGAUAAGCAUCUUGUUACAUGUCCGAGUGCAAACCCAGAGCCAGCACUGAGUUGUAAAGUUCUGAGCCUCAAGGGAGAGGCCAGGGCUGUGGGUGGCCUCAGGGAGCCGUGGGAUGGUAAGAGGGGGCACAGAGCUAGAGGAGCAGUCAGAGGGCUGGAUCACAGGCACCAAAGAGGAAGGGGUCUAGGAGGAAGGGGUCUAGCAGUGGGGUGAGCUUCCAGAACACAGGGGUCAUUUACUUCCUACCACGUGACAGUGCUAGGGCUGGGUUCCACCCUUGUCAUCUGCAUGGUUCCCUAGUGUCAUUGUGGGCUGGGCCCUGUGUCCUGUGUCCCUUCACCACCUUGAGCUGCUCAGUGGCAGAGACUGUCCUGCUUCCAGCCCCUUGAGCACCAGGCCUGGACCCUGGUAUUAUCUCCAAUGUUUACUGUGAAUUCUGUAUAUGGGUGUUACCCUCUCUAAAGAAGCACAUUAAAGAGUAUUUGUUG
rnacentral:lncRNA from 1 species